rfam:Schistosoma mattheei strain Denwood, Zambia genome assembly, scaffold: SMTD_contig0001366
AGCUUUUCGAAUCCGUACUGAGAUUUCAUCAGAUGCCAACCCAUUAGGACUGAUCAGACUCCCAAGAUAAGUGAAGUC